GAUUUCUGUUGUUUUAGUCAGAUAUGAUGCAAAUGAAAAUCAAAUGGUGACAGACUUGUUUCAACAAAGGAGGAUUCUUAAACGUAGAUAUUACCUUGUGGAGAGAGCUAAGGAUGCUAAUAUUGUUGGGAUUUUAGUUGGAACUCUUGGUGUUGCUGGUUAUCUUCACAUAAUCAAUCAAAUGAAGGAGCUCAUAACU